rnacentral:rRNA from 1 species
GGGCCCGCACAAGCGGUGGAGCAUGUGGUUUAAUUCGAUGCAACGCGAAGAACCUUACCAGGGCUUGACAUACUGCGAAUCUCCUUGAAAGGGGAGAGUGCCUUAGGGAAUGCAGAUACAGGUGGUGCAUGGCUGUCGUCAGCUCGUGUCGUGAGAUGUUGGGUUAAGUCCCGCAACGAGCGCAACCCUUGUUUUUAGUUACCAAUUCGUUGGGUUUUCUAGAAAGACUGCCGGUGACAAACCGGAGGAAGGUGAGGAUGACGUCAAGUCAGCAUGCCCCUUAUGUCCUGGGCUACACACGUGCUACAAUGGUUAGGACAAAGAGUCGCAAGUUUGCAAAAACAAGCAAAUCUCAUAAACCGUGGCUCAGUUCAGAUCGUAGGCUGCAACUCGCCUACGUG